rnacentral:rRNA from 1 species
GAUGGACAACAGGUUGAUAUUCCUGUACUACCGAUAACCGUUUGAGAGAUGGGAUGACACAGUAGGAUAAGCUAAGCACACUGUUGGUUAUGUGUGCCCAAGCAUUGAGGCAGUCAAAGUAGGUAAAUCCGCUUUGAUAAUGCUGGGAUGGGAUGGGGAGCGAAAUUUAGUAGCGAAGUAGCUGAUUUCACACUGUCAAGAAAAGUCUCUAUCGAGGUUAAAGGUACCCGUACCGCAAACCGACACAGGUGGGUGAGGAGAGUAUCCUAAGGCCAGCG